GGACAUGAGGGUGAUCUGGCUGUGAUGUCUGUCACCCCAUUGACCGCCAGGGUGGACUGGGCUGAUCUGGCUGGCUAGGCAGGUAUCCCCUUCCUCCCUCACCACUCCAUGUGUGUCCCUCCUGAAGCUGUGUUCUCAGUCAAGGAGGAUGACCAUUCCCAAUAGAGGAGGACUAUUCUUCGGUCAAGAGUAUACAAGUAGCUGCACUCCCCUGCUGGAACCUCCAAGCAAACUCUCAGUAUUAUAGUAGAUUAACUUUUUUAUCCAAAAUUUUUUAAUAUACAUAUUAAGAGAGAAUCAUCAGGAAUAU
rnacentral:snRNA from 1 species